AUUUCGACCGGAGCUAGGUUUUUGAGACUGAAACAGAUCAGUGUUUCCCUUGUUGAUGUGGCUCCUCCACAAACAGUGAAUGUUGACCAACUGGACUGGUCGAGUUUUUCUGAGACAAAAAGUAAAAGAUCUGUGUUUCCUUUGCUGAUGUGGCUCCUCCACAAACAGUGAACUUGACAGACCGGACUGGCCGAGUUUUUCUGGGACAAAAAGUGGAAGGUUUGUAUAAGCAAUCAGAAUAAUAUUUGAGGGAAAAUAUGAAGUCCAUAUGCAACUUGAUUAGUCGGUUAAGGGUUUUGAGAUAGAAACAGAUCUGUGUUUGCCCUGUUGAUGUGGCUCCUCCACAAACAGUAAACGUUGACUGACCGGACUGGUUGAGUCUUUCUGGGACAAUAAGUAAAAGGUUUGUAUAGUCUAUCAGAAUAAUAUUUGAGGGAAAAUAUGAAGUCCAUAUGCAACUUGUGGUAUACUCAGGUCAGUAUAAUCAAAAAUUUUUAAGGCAGCGUAGUGAAGAAAAUCCUAACCAUUGUUCACAUAUUACUCCCUAUGAUGACUUUUGAGGACUUUGUUUAUAGCAUUGUUGUUGAUGCAGCUUGAGGACAAAACCUGCAUUUCGCUAUUAACACAGUUUAGCUUCAUGCUAAAUCAUUAUGACUUGGUUUAGGUUGGUCCAUUCUGACUCAAAUUCGUUAAUCAUAAUUUACAUUCGAUUUAACUA